UGUUUGCAGCCUUGCGACUGUGUCACUUGCACUUGUCCGUUGCUCGUGGCUUUAACAAGGUCUGCGAAAAGCAAGCAGGAGAAUGAAAAGGCGUGACUUCUGGAGGCUCAGAAGCUUUACGUGCGAUGUUCUCCGGACACGUGACUCCUGCCUCGCACGGCGGUGACGGCCUCGCUCUCUAGGCGCCACCUUUCUUGAGGCAGGUAGAGGAAAACCUUGGCACACUGCUGAGGCAGGUGGAGACCUUCCUGUCUGGCACUGUUAACCAAGAAACAA